rnacentral:rRNA from 1 species
ACAUUAGAUACCCGCGUAGUCCUAGCCGUAAACGAUACUCGCUAGGUGUCGGCCACGGUGCGACCGUUGUCGGUGCCGUAGGGAAGCCGUGAAGCGAGCCACCUGGGAAGUACGGCCGCAAGGCUGAAACUUAAAGGAAUUGGCGGGGGAGCACAACAACGGGUGGAGCUUGCGGUUUAAUUGGAUUCAACGCCGGAAAUCUUACCGGGACCGACAGCAACAUGAAGGCCAAGCUGAAGACUUUGCCGGAUUAGCUG